ensembl:lncRNA
AAUGUUUUAUUAUUUUAAGCAAAUACGGUACAUCUUAGUUAGGGUGCUGAGUCAAGGCCUCAGACCUAAGUCAACUAAUGUCCCAGGUAUGUAAGCUACUUUUGUAAGGGAUCUCGUCCUCCUCUUCUGAGGAGGAGAAGCGAGAAGGAUCGGAGGACCAAAACGCAGCGUGAAUUGACCAACAACUUCACAGAGGAAGGAGAUUUCUUCUAUUGGUCUGUACUGAGUUUCCCAUUAUUCUAAUGAUACUUCUUUAUUCCAGUCUGCGUGAUGAACUGAGAACCCAGCUGGCUGUAUGGACGGGGACAGUAUAUCCCGAGAGAGUCAUGAAUCCGUGAAACAGAGUAUUUUACAGUCCCUGAUGCCUCGUUGAAAAGAGAUCCUCGCUCUGAGCUCAUCUACUUUACUGCCUAGAGAAUGAACAUUCGGGAGUAAUAGACUCGGAAGCAGUGGAUGGUAUGCCCGCCUCCUGAGUCAGUCCAGAAGUCCACUCCGAAUACCUUUUCUUCGCCGGCAGCAUCUUGGAGCAGCUUCUUGGAUAAGUUAAAAUGCCCUGGGGGGUACGAACAAAGGAUCCAAUUCGAGAAAGUGGUAUUCCUGGUCAUAAUGCUGGAG